GACGAAGGUGGCAAGCGUUGCUCGGAAUCACUGGGCAUAAAGCGCGCGUAGGUGGCUUGAUAAGUCGGUGGUGAAAUCCCAUGGCUCAACCAUGGAACUGCCGUCGAUACUGUCAGGCUUGAGGGCGGUAGGGGAGAGUGGAACUCCUGGUGUAGCGGUGAAAUGCGCAGAUAUCAGGAGGAACGCCGGUGGCGAAAGCGACUCUCUGGGCCGUUCCUGACACUAAAGUGCGAAAGCUAGGGGAGCAAACAGG
rnacentral:rRNA from 1 species